GGGGGGAGGCCGGAUCCUGGCCUGUGUCCCAGCGCCCUGUGCUCCCGGGCCUGAGCCCUUGGUUUCGCUAUCCGGCCGCGCAGCCCCCU
rnacentral:pre_miRNA from 1 species